rnacentral:rRNA from 1 species
CCUACGGGUGGCAGCAGUGGGGAAUAUUGGGCAAUGGGCGCAAGCCUGACCCAGCAAUGCCGCGUGAAGGAAGAAGGCCCUCGGGUUGUAAACUUCUUUUAUCAGGGACGAAGGAUGCGAUGGUUCCUGAUGAAUACGCUUCGGCUAACUACGUGCCAGCAGCCGCGGUAAUACGUAGGGGGCAAGCGUUAUCCGGAUCUACUGGGUGUAAAGGGCGCGUAGGCGGGUUGGCAAGUCAGAUGUGAAAUCCAGGGGCUCAACCCCUAAACUGCAUUUGAAACUGUCUUUCUUGAGUACUGGAGAGGUUGGCGGAAUUCCUAGUGUAGCGGUGAAAUGCGUAGAUAUUAGGAGGAACACCAGUGGCGAAGGCGGUCAACUGGACUGCAACUGACGCUGAGGCGCGAAAGCGUGGGGAGCAAACAGGAUUAGAUACCCCGGUAGUC